GACGAACGCUGGCGGCGUGCCUAAUACAUGCAAGUAGAACGCAGUUGCGAACGGGUGAGUAACGCGUAGGUAACUGCCUCAUAGCGGGGGAUAACUAUUGGAAACGAAAGCUAACACCGCAUACUGUGAGAUGGACCUUCGUUGUAUUAGAUAGUUGGUGAGGUAAAGGGUCACCAAGACGAAGAGACAUAGCCGACCUGAGAGGGUGAACGGCCAACCUGGGGAUUAGAGCCGGCCCAGACACCUACGGGAGGCAGCAGUAGGGAAUCUUCGAAAAUGGACGGAAGUCUGGCCGGGCGACGCCGCGGGAGAGAAGAAGGUUUUCAGAUAGUAAAGCUCUGUUGUUAGAGGAGCGGUAACUAACCAGAAAGGGACGGCUAACUACGUGCCAGCCGCCGCGGUAAUAC
rnacentral:rRNA from 1 species